rnacentral:piRNA from 1 species
GCCUAAGCUGGGUAUCCCUCAGGGUGGCCA